rnacentral:rRNA from 1 species
CCUACGGGUGGCAGCAGUGGGGAAUAUUGCACAAUGGGGGAAACCCUGAUGCAGCGACGCCGCGUGGGGGAAGAAGGCCCUCGGAGUGUAAACUCCUUUUGGCAGGGAAGAAAAUGACGGUACCUGACGAAGAAGCCCCGGCUAACUACGUGCCAGCAGCCGCGGUAAUACGUCGGGGGCCAGCGUUAUCCGGAUUUCCUGGGUGUAAAGGGGGCGCAGGCGGGUGAGCAAGUCAGGAGUGAAAGCCUAGGGCUUAACCCCGGGACGGCGUUUGAAACUGCGUGGCUAGAGUGAGGGAGAGGUAGGCGGAAUGCUUGGUGUAGCGGUGAAAUGCGUAGAUAUCAGGAGGAACACCGGUGGCGAAGGCGGCCUGCUGGA